UUGGAGUCCACUGGAUUGGACCUGGUGGAACUGCUUCAAAUUAACAGUCAUACAUAGACUUUAACACGUCAAGAUGGGGCAAAAUAAAUUUAAUCAGGCCAUACAUCUUCAGGGAAUCUACCCCAUGGAGGAGGAAAUGGACCAGACCACCAGAAGAAAAACCCAGCUAAGACUCCACCCACUUCCGCUGCUACAUCACGCCUUCCUACAGACCACUUUUGCCUGAGA